GCAAACUCGUUCAAACCAUCAGGACCGCAUAGGAGAAGUUACAGAACGUGAGACUGGAGACUGACGUUUACGACAUCGCAACUGGAACGUUCUUAACUCAACUGUGACGUCAUUCCCAUCUUCGACUUCCCACUUCCAAGGGACGGCGUGGCGCAGUGGGAGAGUGGCCGUGCGCAACCCGAGGGUCCCUGGUUCAAAUCCCACCUAGUACCAACCUCGUCACGUCCGUUGUGUCCUGAGCAAGACACUUCACCCUUGCUCCUGAUGAGUGCUGGUUGGCGCCUUGCAUGGCAGCUCCCUCCAUCAGUGUGUGAAUGUGUGUGUGAAUGGGUAAAUGUGGAAGUAAUGUCAAAGCGCUUUGAGUACCUUGAAGGUAGAAAAGCGCUAUACAAGUACAACCCAUUUAUCAUUUAUUUAUUUACUUGCCAUUUACCAUCUGCUGUAAUGUCCUUCCAUCUAUAUACCCUGCCAACUUUAUUUAUAAUUCCCUUUAAAAAACUUCUUAAAGUUGACAGGGCACUUAUUUAUUGGUGUUGUUUGAAGCUAUCUUAGCGGUUUGUUUAGCUCUUGGCAUUCCUGGUCCUGGCUUACUCGGGUGUAACAUGUUUAGCCUCGGCCUCCAGUGAUACUGCUACAUGAUAAUGAUACUUGAUUAUUAAAAACUCAGAGAUGUGGCUCCACACUGUGUAUGGAGACACACACUUAGCUGCCAGCUUGUCAGGACGGAUGGUGUGUUCCAUUGAUAUCGGAAAUUGGAAGUCAGAGCGAGGAAUGAAGUCAAAGCCGGAGUUAUAAGCGUACCAGUUAUGAGGUUGAAAAAGUAGAUGGCCACAUCCAUGGAGGCAAUUCAUGCCUUACCUGAGAACAAACGACUUAUGGAAACACAGUAUAUGCACUGUUUCUGCAACCUUUGAACACAAUAGAUGAAGAUUGACAUUG